AUGGCUCAGGACGAACGCUGGCGGCGUGCCUAAUACAUGCAAGUCGAACGAACUGUGGAAAGCUUGCUUUUCAGAGUUAGUGGCGAACGGGUGAGUAACACGUAAGUAACCUAGCUAUUAGACGAGGAUAACUACUGGAAACGGUAGCUAAGACUGGAUAUGAUAGAAAUAUUUAAAGGAUGCUAAGGCAUCGCUAAUAGAGGGGCUUGCGGCGCAUUAGCUAGUUGGUAGGGUAAAAGCCAACCAAGGCGAUGAUGCGUAGCCGACCUGAGAGGGUGACCGGCCACACUGGGACUGAGACACGGCCCAGACUCCUACGGGAGGCAGCAGUAGGGAAUCUUCGGCAAUGGACGGAAGUCUGACCGAGCAACGCCGCGUGAGUGAAGAAAGUUUUCGGAUUGUAAAGCUCUGUUAUUAGGGGAGAAAGGCUCUAGGAGGAAAUGCUUAGGGAUUGACGGUACCUAAUGAGGAAGCCACGGCUAACUACGUGCCAGCCGCCGC
rnacentral:rRNA from 1 species